UAACUUUUGAGAUGAAUGGUAGGUUUGAAAUAGGGCGAUAGUUAUUGAGUUCGUUUGGGUCCAGGCCAGGUUUUUUUAAUAUGGGUGUGACUGAAGCAGUUUUGAGCAGGGAGGGAACAGUACCAGUUGACAGGGAGCAGUGAACAAUUUGUGUAAUGAGAGGGGAAAGUGUAGGGAGACAAGCCUUGACCAGUGUGGUGGAAAGUGGGUCGAGUAGACAAGUAGUAGACCGGGAAGACAUGAUCAGUUGGGAUAUCUGUUGAUUCGAGGGAAGAUGAAAAGCAGAUAGGCUACUGGUGGGCUUGACAGUAGCACAAGGAGUGUUUAACUGAGAGGACAGGGAAGGGGUGAGAUGGUGGUGUAUGGAGUAAACUUUGUGAUUUAUGAGUAGUUAUUAUCAACAAAAACAUAAAGAAGAUGAUCAUGUAAAAUGUACCUUGAGAAAUAAAGGCUAAAAUAAUUCCAAUCAUUUUCAGAUGGAAAACAUGGGAAUUAAGUUUACAAAAAUAAUGGUUGUUUCAUUUAAAAGAACACUGGACAGAAACAAAAACCCCAAAAAAUCACGUUAGCAUUUGAAUAGAAGGACCUAUAUUGCUCCUGAAGAGCAGGUUGGUACCUAUAAAUGGCAGCCUUUGCUAUCAGUGUGUAAAGCCCUAAUGGUCAGUGAGAAAAAAGGCGCUGUUUAGAUCCAAGUAUACCAUUGUUGUAAUUACUUUUUUUUAUCUUUUUUAUCUUUUAUCUAAGAUUUUUUUUAAUGCAUUACAUAUUGUAGUGCAAAACGUUUCGACAUGCUGCAACUAUGUGUAAGUCUCUGUAUUGUUUGAUUUUAUAGAUUUAAAGGAAGACAAGAUGGGUAGUGGACGGAUCACAUCAAUUUUCCUGAUUAUAGUUGUUGCGGUCGAUUUGACAAAAAAGGCUGGGACAACAGCUGCUCCAACAACAACAUUAACAACAACAACAACAAUAGCUAAUCUGACAACAUCACCAAAAACAGCAACAACACCUGCCAUGACUACUACAACAGCAGCAACAACAACACCAACAAAAACUACUGCUGCAACGACAACAGCUGCUCCAUUAUCAACAACUGAUGGAAAAACGUCACCUUCUCCGACUCAAACAAAAGAAGCCACGUCAAAAGCUGCUCUAACUACAACCACUGCUGCAACAACAGCUGGUCCAAAAACAAUGGUAGCAACGACAACACCUGCUCCGACUACAACAAUGGCAGCAACAACAACUGCUGGUCCAACAACAACCACUCCUGCAACAACAGCUGCUCUGACCACAACCACUGCUGCAACAACGACAGCUGCUCCAACUACAACCAAUGCUGCAACAACAACAGCUGGUCCAACAACAACGGUAGCAACGACAACAGCUGCUCCAACCACAACCACUGCUCUGACUUCAAAAAUGGCAGCAUCAACAACUACUGGUCCAACAACAACCACUCCUGCAACGACAACAGCUGCUCUGACCACAACCACUGCUGCAACAACGACACCUGCUCCAACUACAACAACGGCAGCAACGACAACUGCUGCUCUAACCACAACCACUGCUGCAACGACAGCUGCUCCGACCACAACAACGGCAGCAACGACAACUACUGGUCCAACAACAACCACUCCUGCAACGACAACAGCUGCUCAGACUACAACAAUCGCACCAACCACUACCACUGCUGCAACAACGACAGCUGCUCCACCUACAACCACUGCUCCAACGACAACACCUGCUCCGACUACAACAACGGCAGCAACGACAACUGCUGGUCCAACAACAACCACUGCUGCAACAACAAAACCUGCUCCGACUACAACCACUGCUGCAACAACGACAGCUGCUCAAACUACAACCACUGCUGCAACAACAAAAGCAGCAACAACAACUGCUGCUCCAACAACAACAACCACUGCUGCAACAACGGCAGCAACGACAACAAGUGCUCCAACCAAAACCACUGCUGCAACGACAAAAGGUGCGCCGACUACAACAACCGCAGCAAUGACAGCUACUGGUCAAACAACAACCACUCCUGCAACGACAACAGCAGCUCAGACUACAACAAUCGCACCAACAACAAUCACUGCUGCAACUACAACAGCUGCUCUGACUACAGCCACUGCUGCAAAAACAACAACAGCUGGUCCAACAACAACGGUAGCAACGACGACAGCUGCUCCAACCACAACCACUGCUGCAACAACAACGGUAGUAACCACAACAGCUAGUCCAACCACUACCACUGCUGCAACUAAAAAACCUGCUCUGACUACAACCACUGCUGCAACAACAGCUGCUCCAACUACAACAACCGUAGCAAUGACAACAGCUAGUCCAACCACAACCACUGCUUCAACAACGACAGCUGCUCCAACUACAACGACGGCAGCAACGACAACAGCAGGUCCAACCACAACCAGUGUUGCAACGACUACAACAACGGCAGCAAUGACAACUGCUGGUCCAACAACAACCACUGGUCCAACAACAACCACUCCUGCAACGACAACAGCUGCUCCGACUAAAACAACGGCAAUAACGACAACUGCUGGUCCAACAACAACCACUGCUGCAACAAAAAGACCUGCUCCGACUACAACAACGGCAGCAACGACAACAGGUCCUCCAACCACAACCACUGCUGCAACGACACCUGCUUCAACGACAACACCUGCUCCAACGACACCUGCUCCAACGACGUCACCUGCUCCAACGACAACACCUGCUCCAACGACAACACCUGCUCCGACUACAACAACGGCAUCAACGACAACUGCUGGUCCAACAACAACCACUGCUGCAACAACAACACCUGCUCCGACUACAACAACGCAGCAACGACAACAGCUGCUCCAACCACAACCACUGCUGCAACGACAACAGCUGCUCAGAC
rnacentral:lncRNA from 15 species